rnacentral:rRNA from 1 species
CCUACGGGAGGCAGCAGUGGGGAAUAUUGGACAAUGGGCGAAAGCCUGAUCCAGCAAUGCCGCGUGAGUGAUGAAGGCCUUCGGGUCGUAAAGCUCUUUUACCAGGGAUGAUAAUGACAGUACCUGGAGAAUAAGCUCCGGCUAACUCCGUGCCAGCAGCCGCGGUAAUACGGAGGGAGCUAGCGUUGUUCGGAAUUACUGGGCGUAAAGAGUACGUAGGCGGUUAUUCAAGUCAGAGGUGAAAGCCCGGGGCUCAACCCCGGAACUGCCUUUGAAACUAGAUAACUAGAGUCUUGGAGAGGUUAGUGGAAUUCCGAGUGUAGAGGUGAAAUUCGUAGAUAUUCGGAAGAACACCAGUGGCGAAGGCGACUAACUGGACAAGUACUGACGCUGAGGUACGAAAGCGUGGGGAGCAAACAGGAUUAGAUACCCUGGUAGUCCACGCCGUAAACGAUGAUAACUAGUUGUUCGGUCACUUGGUGACUGAGUGACGCAGCUAACGCAUUAAGUUAUCCGCCUGGGGAGUACGGUCGCAAGNUUAAAACUCAAAGGAAUUGACGGCUGNGAGNGCGAGCGACACGAGGAGAG